rnacentral:lncRNA from 1 species
GUGAUCGUUUGCCUGCUGCUCGACCAAUCAUCGUGUACCUCGCCGUAAUCACGUGAACCAUUGGUCACGUGACUGUACGGCGCGCUGCUUGACUCAUAGCACAACGUUUUUUCCCGUUACAAGUUCUUUUUCCAUUCUGCGAAUUUUUAACGUAUGAUUUUACGUUAACUACUAGCUACGAUUAUUUGCAAUAAAUACGUUGGAGAAUUAAUGAUACUAUAAGACGUAAAAGUCAGCCACAGCUAUGUUAUUUGUUCUAUGAAAUGGACUUAACGCAUUAUAUUUGCAACCUUUAUUAUGCAUGCGCAUCUGAACUGGAAUAUCGAGGAAAAUUUUAUAGCAAUGAAAUUCAAUAACUACUGUUUCAAAUACAGGAUUACUGAUUCCGCUUGACCGUGUUUGUAUCGUCAGAUUUCAUUGCAAUGGAGGAGCUAUUUGUAAAAAUCAAAUGUAAUUCAUCCAAGAUAUUAUCGUGGUAGAAUAAAAU